rnacentral:rRNA from 1 species
GCGCACCAGUCGAGAAUCCUCCGCAAUGCUCGAAAGAGCGACGGGGGACUCCAAGUGCCUACGCUCAGCGUAGGCUGUUCCCGAGCCUAAAAAGCUCGGGGAGUAAGGGCUGGGUAAGACGGGUGCCAGCCGCCGCGGUAAUACCCGCAGCCCGAGUGGUGGCCGCUAUUAGUUGGGCCUAAAGCGUCCGUAGCCGGCUCGGUAAACGCCUGGGUAAAUCGUCUGGCCCCAACCAGACGAAUUCCGGGUAGACUGCCGGGCUAGGGACCGGAGGAGGGAGAGGGUACUCCGAGGGGUAGGGGUGAAAUCAGCAAGGUGAGUUGCUGAUGUAACUUGCCUUGCAAGUCACAAUCCUGUAAU